rnacentral:sRNA from 1 species
CCUUCCAGGAGCGCGGAGGUGGGUUCCGGGGCCGCGGCGCCUCCUGGCUGGGGCCGUGGGUAGUUGCGAGGCAGAGGGGCGCGGCGCAGGGUGGGGGUCUCGCCCUAGCUUGGCGCAGCGUGCGGUCCGAGCCACCGUUCGUGGGAAGAACGCGCCCCCUCCCCAGCGCCUCCGCUCAGGGAAUGCAGAGAGCAACCAAUGUCACCUACCAAGCCCAUCAUGUCAGCAGGAACAAGAGAGGUCAGGUGGUGGGGACCAGAGGUGGCUUUCGUGGUUGCACAGUUUGGCUAACAGGCUUGUCUGGGGCAGGAAAGACUACUGUGAGCAUGGCCUUGGAGGAGUACCUGGUUUGUCAUGGUAUUCCAUGCUACACUCUGGAUGGUGACAAUAUUCGUCAAGGUCUCAAUAAAAAUCUUGGCUUUAGUCCUGAAGACAGAGAAGAAAAUGUUCGACGCAUCGCAGAAGUUGCUAAACUGUUUGCAGAUGCUGGCUUAGUGUGCAUCACAAGUUUCAUAUCACCUUAUACUCAGGAUCGCAACAAUGCAAGGCAAAUUCAUGAGGGUGCAAGUUUACCGUUUUUUGAAGUAUUUGUUGAUGCUCCUCUGCAUGUUUGUGAACAGAGAGAUGUCAAAGGACUCUACAAAAAAGCCCGGGCAGGAGAAAUUAAAGGUUUCACUGGGAUCGAUUCUGAAUAUGAAAAGCCAGAGGCCCCUGAGUUGGUGCUGAAAACAGACUCCUGUGAUGUAAAUGACUGUGUCCAGCAAGUUGUGGAACUUCUACAGGAACGGGAUAUUGUACCUGUGGAUGCAUCUUAUGAAGUAAAAGAACUAUAUGUGCCAGAAAAUAAACUUCAUUUGGCAAAAACAGAUGCGGAAACAUUACCAGCACUGAAAAUUAAUAA